UCUCUGUAAGGGCAAACCGUCGGCGACGGCGGGGCGCAAAGCCAAAGGGUCUCAGCACACGCGAGACGGCCAGGCUGCCAGA
rfam:Gemmatimonadetes bacterium 13_1_40CM_4_69_8 13_1_40cm_4_scaffold_943, whole genome shotgun sequence.